AGUGGAUGGGGAGCAACCUAGUUGUGCGUGUGUAAAGGUAGUGCCAAGAAAAGCGAUGAUCAUGUUGAAAAUCAAUUCCCGGUACCCGAAACCGACACAGGUGGGCAAGUAGAGAAUACUAAGGGGCGCGAGGUAACUCUCUCCAAGGAACUCGGCAAAAUGACCCCGUAACUUAGGGAGAAGGGGUGCCACCGAGAGGUGGUCGCAGUGAAGAGGCCCAGGCGACUGUUUAGCAAAAACAUAGGUCUCUGCAAACUCGAAAGAGGAGGUAUAGGGGCUGACGCCUGCCCAGUGCCGGAAGGUUAAAGAAGUUGGUCAGUUUUAGGAUGAAGCUAGCGACUGAAGCCCCGGUGAACGGCGGCCGUAACUAUAACGGUCCUAAGGUAGCGAAAUUCCUUGUCGGGUAAGUUCCGACCCGCACGAAAGGCGUAACGAUCUGGGCGCUGUCUCGGAGAGAGGCUCGGCGAAAUAGGAUUGUCUGUGAAGAUACGGACUACCUGCAUUUGGACAGAAAGACCCUAUGAAGCUUUACUAUAGCUUGGAAUUGUGUUCGGGCUUCCUGUGCGCAGGAUAGGUGGGAGGCGUAGAAGGUAUUCUUGUGGGGAUACUGGAGCCAACGGUGAGAUACCACUCUCAGGAGGCUAGAAUUCUAACUUAAUUAAGGACAGUUUCAGGUGGGUAGUUUGACUGGGGCGGUCGCCUCCAAAAAGGUAACGGAGGCGUACAAAGGUUCCCUCAGACUGGUUGGAAAUCAGUCGAAGAGUGCAAAGGCAGAAGGGAGCUUGACUGCGAGAAGUACAGUUCGAGCAGGGUGGAAACACGGUCUUAGUGAUCCGACGGUGCUGUGUGGAAGGGCCGUCGCUCAACGGAUAAAAGUUACUCUAGGAUAACAGGCUGAUCUCCCCCAAGAGUUCACAUCGACGGGGAGGUUUGGCACCUCGAUGUCGGCUCAUCGCAACCUGGGGCGGAAGUACGUCCCAAGGGUUGGGCUGUUCGCCCAUUAAAGCGGUACGUGAGCUGGGUUCAGAACGUCGUGAGACAGUUCGGUCCAUAUCCGAUGUAGGCGUGAGAAUAUUGAGAGGAGCCUUCCUUAGUACGAGAGGACCGGGAAGGACGCACCGCUGGUGUACCUGUUAUGAUGCCAAUUGUAAACGCAGGGUAGCCAAGUGCGGAGAGGAUAACCGCUGAAAGCAUCUAAGUGGGAAGCCCACCUCAAGAUGAGUAUUCUGGUGUAAGGUCACGGGAAGACGACCCGUAAAUAGGCACGAGGUGGAAGUGCAGAGAUGUAUGAAGCCGAAGUGUACUAAUAGACCGUCGGCUUGACCG
rnacentral:rRNA from 1 species